UCCCUUUAACAAUUUUGUAAAGAUUUAAUGAUUUUAAUCCUUGAAUUAUCUUGAAAUUUCACCAGUUUGUCUUAUGCUCCGUCUCCGAUAGUGUUUGAAUUCACAUUAGUUUUUUAUAUUUAUUGUAAAGAUUGGAAUAGAAUUAGUUAAUCCGCGCAAUAAGGAUUUGAUAAUCCGUGCGAACUAAAUUUAACCUUUUACCAGUGCUCAGAAUCCGAAUGAUAAGCAUCUUUCCGAUUCCUGGAUCCGGAUCCGGAUCCGGUGAAGACCACUCCAACAUUUGUGUUAUUUAUUAUAAUUGAUUUGAAAUCAAGAAUUUGAAAUCGGGACGGAUUCAUUGUUCAGGAUCUCUAGGAUUCUGCAUCUAGGAUUCAGGAUCUAGGAUUCAGGAUAUAGGAUUCAGGAUAUAGGAUUCAGGAUAUAGAUGCGUAUAACAUGGAUUCUAAGCUCAGUUUGUUAACCCUAUGCAACUUCUAAACGAAGGCUGAAAGUUUUCAACCCUGUAAUUGUAAAAAGAAAAUAAUUAUAUGUAUUGUAUAUAUAUAUAUAGAAAAUAUUUUUCAAUUUAUUAUUAUGAUGCAUUUUGACAGUGUACUUGUGAAAAAUGUUUUAACUUGGUCAGAAAUAAAUUUAAUACCGUUUUA